rnacentral:rRNA from 1 species
UGGGGAAUCUUGGACAAUGGGGGCAACCCUGAUCCAGCGACGCCGCGUGGGUGGUAAGGCCUUCGGGUUGUAAAGCCCUUUCAGCGGGGAAGAUGAUGACAUUACCCGCAGAAGAAGCGCCGGCUAACUCCGUGCCAGCAGCCGCGGUAAUACGAAGGGGGCUAGCGUUGUUCGGAAUUACUGGGCGUAAAGCGCGCGUAGGCGGAUCUUUAAGUCAGGGGUGAAAUCCCGGGGCUCAACCUCGGAAUUGCCUCUGAUACUGGAGAUCUUGAGUCCGAGAGAGGUGAGUGGAACUCCGAGUGUAGAGGUGAAAUUCGUAGAUAUUCGGAAGAACACCAGUGGCGAAGGCGGCUCACUGGCUCGGUACUGACGCUGAGGUGCGAAAGCGUGGGGAGCAAACAGGAUUAGAUACCCCCGUAGUCC